UGACAGUUCCUCCCGGCUCUGACAGCCCGCGGGUGCGGCUGCAGGUGCCAUCUCGGCUUCCUUAGCCCAGCUCAGGACAAACUCCAGAAGGAAACAACCCCGGCUCUGGUCCCCUCGGGCACCCCGGGGAAGGACCCGGCACCGGCCGGUCACUCUCCGCCCGCCCGCCCUCCCGAGAGCGCGGCCCCGACCCGGGGUCCGCCGCCAAGCCCGAGCGCCCGGGGCGUUCGAGGGGGCUGGCGGCUCCUGUUCCCACCGCCGCCCGCCGUACCUGGUGGUGGUUGUACGAGUUCCUCUGCUGCAGGAAGGCGGCUGCGGCAGCCUGGUGCUGCUGCUGCAGCUGCGGGCUGACGGGUGACCUCCGGCUCUGCGGCUGCUGCGGCGCCGCCGCCGGCGGCUGCUGUUGAGAAGUCUUAAUAAUUGUUUUAGUGAUUGGGGCCAGCAGAAACCUUCUUCCUGACAUUCUUCUAAGUGACAGUUUAUCCUUGCCACAGUGGUCACUGUUGUGCUUCAAACAUGGAAAAAGACGUCUCAUAUGGUCCUACCCCCUAUAGAAAGAACCACGGUUAACUAAUGACUGCCAGAUGAAGUUCCUGCUUCCAGCUUCCUGCCAAGACUUCCUUUAAUGGUGGACUGUAACCUGAAGCUCAAAUCCCAAAUGACGUUCCUGCUCUGUUGCCUGUGCCCUGGACUGCUCACUGCCUGAGCCUAUCUACCCUUGGGGGGUUGGAGGUGAGGUAUCACAAAGUCAUCAACACAGACUCCUGAAGAAGAGAAGGCUCCAGGAAGGAUCUGUCUAGCUGGGAAAUACACCUUCCUGUUGUUUUGGUACAGAGAAAGACCAGCUGACUGGUUUUCAGAAUGAGAAGAGUCUAGUUGGCAGCCCAAAGAGGUGACUGAGAACUGGCUGUGUAAGGACAGCAGAGCUUCCUGGGGACAGGCUUCAUUUUUCCUGCUUAAAAAAAAAAAAAGAUAUGGGAGAAUUCCAAUGUUCUGGCAAAAUUAAGGAAACCUGCAAUUGGUUGCUUGGAUAAAAAAACAGCAAACCUGUCUGUAGUAAAUUACAUAUGGGGACAAAGCCCCACUGACUCCCGAGGCUGCCUCCCUCCCUGUACUCCACCCUGCCGCCAUCCUUAAGGUAAUGUCCUUCAGAUUGCACAAGCUGCAUUUCAGAGACCUGCAGUCCAAGCUUGACACCUAAGAACUGUGUCCCCUUUAGGUAAGUCUCAUGGCUUUUUUGUCUGAGUUUCAUGAUAUUAUUUGUAACACGGUAUUAAAUCUGUUUCUUCAUAUUGAUAUGAGAAAUAAACACACUUUCAUCAGC
rnacentral:lncRNA from 1 species